UACGGAGGGGGUUAGCGUUGUUCGGAAUUACUGGGCGUAAAGCGCACGUAGGCGGAUUGGAAAGUUGGGGGUGAAAUCCCGGGGCUCAACCCCGGAACUGCCUCCAAAACUAUCAGUCUAGAGUUCGAGAGAGGUGAGUGGAAUUCCAAGUGUAGAGGUGAAAUUCGUAGAUAUUUGGAGGAACACCAGUGGCGAAGGCGGCUCACUGGCUCGAUACUGAACGCGUGAGG
rnacentral:rRNA from 1 species